AUGGCAUCUCAGGAGGAGGCAGGUGGAUCGCGCCCAAGGAAGGAACCGAUCGAGGAUCUCCUGAAGCGCUUGGAAUUGCAGGAAGAGGAAGAGGAUAACUUCGUUUGGGAGGAGGAAUUCCAGGAGAACCAGGUGGCGGCGAAGUGGCUAGCGAUCGCGAAAGUCCAUACGGAUAAGGGAUUUAGUCCCUCUGCUUUGUACUCGGAUAUGAGAUCUGCGUGGAACCCGGCGAAGGAACCACGAUGGCGCAGGAUUGAAGAAAACCUAUUCACGGUACAGUUUGGCUGUCUGGGCGACCGGAACACGGCGAUGAACAUGGGACCAUGGCUCUUUCGCGAUCAUGGGCUCCUGAUUGCGGAAUACGAUGGGUUUACGAAUCCAACAUCAGUGGUGCUUAACAAGAUAGUGGUCUGGGCAAGGAUCUUGAAGUUGCCUGAUAAUUACCUAAUACCUGCAGCAAUCAGAGGGAUGUGCAGGAAGAUGGGAAAGAUCGUAGAGAUUCAGACUACUCUUCCAGCGGGUUUUGCAUGCGAGUUUGUUCGAGUCAGAGUGGAACUUGAUGUCACAAAAAAGCUGAUUCGGUUUGUAGGGAUCACAAAGCAGGAAGUCACAGACUACUACCAAGUUCAAUAUGAGAAGCUACCUAUCUUUUGUGGGCAAUGUGGUCUGAUGGGACACUGGUACCAAGAAUGUGGGACGGGGAAACAUGAUGUAUCCAAGCUUGAGUGGGGAGAUUUCCUAUUGGCAGAUGGUGGUAGAGGUCGUGGGAGAGGCCGUGGUAAUGGACAGAAUACGGGAAGAGGUAGAGGUGGUGUUGGAAGAAACGGGGAUGCCUUUGGAAGGGGCCGUGGCAGGGGUGAUUGA
rnacentral:rRNA from 1 species